rnacentral:rRNA from 1 species
GAACGAAGGCUUCGGCCUUAGUGGCGCACGGGUGCGUAACGCGUGGGAAUCUGCCCUUGGGUUCGGAAUAACAGUUAGAAAUGACUGCUAAUACCGGAUGAUGACGUAAGUCCAAAGAUUUAUCGCACAGGGAUGAGCCCGCGUAGGAUUAGCUAGUUGGUGUGGUAAAGGCGCACCAAGGCGACGAUCCUUAGCUGGUCUGAGAGGAUGAUCAGCCACACUGGGACUGAGACACGGCCCAGACUCCUACGGGAGGCAGCAGUGGGGAAUAUUGGACAAUGGGCGAAAGCCUGAUCCAGCAAUGCCGCGUGAGUGAUGAAGGCCUUAGGGUUGUAAAGCUCUUUUACCCGGGAUGAUAAUGACAGUACCGGGAGAAUAAGCUCCGGCUAACUCCGUG